rnacentral:tRNA from 1 species
CUSUGCGUCCUGAGGUUAAAC